GAGGGUAUAGCUCAAGUGGUAGAGUGCGUGCUUAGCAUGCACAAGGUCCUGGGUUCAAUCCCCAGUACCUCCU
rfam:Camelus ferus unplaced genomic scaffold scaffold1058, whole genome shotgun sequence.